CAGUAGCCACGGUAAUACGGAGGGUGCAAGCGUUAAUCGGAAUUACUGGGCGUAAAGCGCACGCAGGCGGUUUGUUAAGUCAGAUGUGAAAUCCCCGAGCUUAACUUGGGAACUGCAUUUGAAACUGGCAAGCUAGAGUCUUGUAGAGGGGGGUAGAAUUCCAGGUGUAGCGGUGAAAUGCGUAGAGAUCUGGAGGAAUACCGGUGGCGAAGGCGGCCCCCUGGACAAAGACUGACGCUCAGGUGCGAAAGCGCGGGGAGCAAACAGGAUUAGAUACCCGUGUAGUCCCUGUCUCUUAUAC
rnacentral:rRNA from 1 species